rnacentral:rRNA from 1 species
GGUGAACGCUGGAGGCGUGCUUAAGACAUGCAAGUCGAACGGGCUCUUCGGAGCCAGUGGCGCACGGGCGAGUAACGCGUAACUGACCUACCCCAAAGUCGCGGAUAACGAUUCGAAAGAAUCGCUAAUACGUGAUGUGCUGUCAGAUCCUGUUCUGCCAGUAAAGAUUUAUUGCUUUGGGAUGGGGUUGCGUUCCAUCAGCUAGUUGGUGGGGUAAAGGCCCACUAAGGCGACGACGGAUCGCCGGCCUGAGAGGGUGGCCGGCCACAGGGGCACUGAGACACGGGUCCCACUCCUACGGGAGGCAGCAGUUAGGAAUCUUCCACAAUGGGCGAAAGCCUGAUGGAGCGACGCCGCGUGAGGGAUGAAGGUCUUCGGAUCGUAAACCUCUGAAUCAGGGACGAAAGACGCGAAAGCGGGAUGACGGUACCUGAGUAAUAGCACCGGCUAACUCCGUG